GACGAACGCUGGCGGCGUGCUUAACACAUGCAAGUCGAACGGUAAGGCCCUUCGGGGUACACGAGUGGCGAACGGGUGAGUAACACGUGGGUGAUCUGCCCUGCACUUCGGGAUAAGCCUGGGAAACUGGGUCUAAUACCGGAUAGGACCACUGCCUGCAUGGGUGGUGGUGGAAAGCUUUUGCGGUGUGGGAUGGGCCCGCGGCCUAUCAGCUUGUUGGUGGGGUGAUGGCCUACCAAGGCGACGACGGGUAGCCGGCCUGAGAGGGUGACCGGCGACACUGGGCCUGGGAGACGGCCCAGACUCCUACGGGAGGCAGCAGUGGGGAAUAUUGCACGAUGGGCGCAAGCCUGAUGCAGCGACGCCGCGUGAGGGAUGACGGCCUUCGGGUUGUAAACCUCUUUCAGCACCGACGAAGCGCAAGUGACGGUAGGUGCAGAAGAAGGACCGGCCAACUACGUGCCAGCCGCCGCGGUAA
rnacentral:rRNA from 1 species